rnacentral:tRNA from 1 species
GCUGGUGUAGCUCAGUGGUUAGAGCGCCAGUCCCCCCCCACCCCCACCCCCCAUACCAAAGGGUCAUGGGUUCGAUUCCCAGUCAUGGGCA